UCUGAGAUAACUAAAAUAUAUAGUAUUAGAUUUUUAAUCUAAAAAUAGUCAAAUAGACUUCUAGGGU
rnacentral:tRNA from 1 species